UUCGCUCCUAAAACCAUCUAAAGGUGAUGUGGCUUCAGUAGUGGUCGGCAUCCCUACGUGCUCCUCAUAGCAUAAUUAUGAUUCAACUACCACUUAUAGCGAUUUAAACGGUUGAACCACAUACAAUUAGAUUUAUCGAUUCGACGUCAUGAUCCGAUUCUGAAAACCAUCAUAAGAAGUCAUUGAUUGAGGAGAUGGGUUGAAUGUCCCUCUUUUGUAUGCUUAGUAUUGCCAUGGAUAGUAUUUGAUAGCUCAGACAGAGGCACAUGUACCAUUGAUGUACAAGUACAAUGACCCCAACACCAAGCAACAAUACAAAUUCCUUCCUACACAAGUAAUAUCCAAAUUUGCAAACCCUAUCUUACCAAAUCCUAAUAUUCCAUGCAACAUUGUUUCCAGAUUAUAGGAAUGUUGCAGCUGGAUUACUAACGGUCUCAGCAGACCCUUUCCAAUUGCAGAACUCUGCCCUUAAAUGGAAGUACCCACGAAAGAAGACAGAAAUUGCGCAGCUGCAAAGAUAACUAGACAACUGAGUUUCACCGCCAUUCUCAAAACAGGAAACCUUAAAACCAAAUUCUUCAGACGCAAUCGAUAACAAGGAAACCAUUCUUCAACAUAAAUAUGACCACCAUUCUCAAGAAGCAAAAGCAUCAUUCUAACUGUAACCAUGGAGAAAGUACUAGUACUGAGAAUGGUUACCUACGUUCUGAUAGCUGUUUCUUUCUGUGCUUUCUUCGACUGCUGCUGCUGCACCCACACACAUGGAGGAGAGGUUUAACAAAUGGAUGGCGAAAUACAACAGGACAUACAAGAGCGGAGACGAGUAUUUGAGUCAUUUCCAGAUAUACCAGUCAAAUCUUCGUCUCAUUCAGCGUGUCAAUUCUCUGAAUCAGUCAUACUAGCUGACUGAUAGCAAGUUUGCUGACUUGACUCAUGAGGAGUUCAAAUCAAUGUACCUUCGUCUGUUGCCUAAGAAUUCAAGCAAGGAUCAGAAGCAUGCCAAUUUCAGCUGCGAUGAUUUGCCGGAGAAGGUAGAUUGGAGGAAGAAAGGUACUGUUACUGAGGUCAAAAAUCAAUUAUGCGGUAUGAGCUUCUUUUCUCUCUGUAUUCAUAUACUUGCUGUAUUCAGUAUCUAUAAACACAAUCGAAAACUGUAGUAGAUACAUGAUACAUCAUGCUUCGUAUCAUCUGUACCUAGCAAAAAUGCAGAAAAGUUCACUGAAACCAGUUCAAGCUUCUGAAGAAAUUUGAAGGGAGAUUUCAAUGGAAUGCUGAUCCAGCUAUCAUUUCCUUCGUCCUAUUCUGAUUCCUAUUAACAAAAGAAGCUUUUGAUACACCCGAAUAGUGAAGAACGGAAAUCUUAAACUGUUGCAUAGUUCUUCAGAAGCAUCAAUAUGUUUAUUUAAUUUCAUGCUCUAGUUAAGUCGCAUACAAGAGUAUCUAAUGUUACUUUUUUCUCGUUCUACAGGAGAUAGUUGGGCAUUCUCGACUGUGGCAGCUGUCGAGGGCUUCCACAAAAUCAAGACAAGAAAACUAACGACUCUUUCGGAACAAGAGCUCGUAGACUGUGUUGGUGGUGGGGACGGGUGCAAAGGUGGGGCCGUAGAGGAUGCAUACGACUUCAUCACGGAGAUUGGGGGACUAACGACUAAUGAUAACUAUCCUUACAAAGGCAGAGAUGGAGUUUGCCAGAAAAAGAAACUGAAACAUCCUUCUGCAAAAAUUAAUGGAUAUGAAGUAUUACGUACCGACAACGAGACAAUCCUCCAAGCCUCUGUUGCAAAGCAGCCUGUCAGUGUUGCAAUUGAUGCUAUGCAAUUGAUGCUACUCAUUUCCGAUUAUAUUCCAAGGGUAUCUUCAUUGGACCCUGCAAAUCAGACCUCAACCACGGAGUCGCAGCAGUUGGGUAUGGAGCUGAACAUGGUAAGAAGUACUGGAUUCUGAAAAGUUCAUGGGGGAAAGACUGGGGAGAAGCUGGAUACAUCAGGUUGCCACGUGAUGUGAAGGAGAAAGGUGGCAAGUGCAGCAUUGCCAUGGCAAUCAGUUUCCUGUCUGAAUUCGUAUUGUCUCCCAUGUGAAUAAUCCCCGGGUCUAGUAUCAGAACAUAAUCUUAAGCGUCAACUAUCAUAAGCUCCAUUCCAUGAAAUGUGUACGCUUUGAAGCAUUAAAGGACUAUAGAAGUCCAUGCAUCAUAUAUCUCCGGAAGAGUAAACUAACCAUGUCAAUAAUGAUAGAAUCACGCAUCAAAUCAUCUUCAUAGAAAUUAAAAUCGAAUGGUUUCGCUUCCUCACAGACAUUCACCACUUUUCUAACUCUAGUUUCCUCCUGGCUGGCACAUAACUCAUUAGGAACUCGGCUCGUGAGUAGGCCUACUCCUAACCAUCCUUUCAUGAAGUAAACACUACAGUGAUCCUAAAGACAGUUCAUAACCAUUGACUAAAAUUGUAAGCAAUUACCAAG
rnacentral:lncRNA from 1 species